rnacentral:rRNA from 1 species
UCCAGGAAAAGCCUCUAAGCAUCAGGUAACAUUAAAUCGUACCCCAAACCGACACAGGUGGUCAGGUAGAGAAUACUCAGGCGCUUGAGAGAACUCGGGUGAAGGAACUAGGCAAAAUGGUGCCGUAACUUCGGGAGAAGGCACGCUGGCAUUAGGUAAAGAGACUUGCUCUCGGCGCCGAAGCCAGUCGCAGAUACCAGCUGGCUGCAACUGUUUAAUAAAAACACAGCACUGUGCAAACACGAAAGUGGACGUAUACGGUGUGACGCCUGCCCGGUGCUGGAAGGUUAAUUGAUGGGGUCAGCCGCAAGGCGAAGCUCUUGAUCGAAGCCCCAGUAAACGGCGGCCGUAACUAUAACGGUCCUAAGGUAGCGAAAUUCCUUGUCGGGUAAGUUCCGACCUGCACGAAUGGCGUAAUGAUGGCCAGGCUGUCUCCACCCGAGACUCAGUGAAAUUGAACUCGCUGUGAAGAUGCAGUGUACCCGCGGCAAGACGGAAAGACCCCGUGAACCUUUACUAUAGCUUGACACUGAACAUUGAGCCUUGAUGUGUAGGAUAGGUGGGAGGCAUUGAAGUGUGGACGCCAGUCUGCAUGGAGCCAACCUUGAAAUACCACCCUUUAAUGUUUGAUGUUCUAACUCGGCCCCAUAAUCUGGGGUGAGGACAGUGUCUGGUGGGUAGUUUGACUGGGGCGGUCUCCUCCCAAAGAGUAACGGAGGAGCACGAAGGUUAGCUAAUCACGGUCGGACAUCGUGAGGUUAGUGCAAAGGCAUAAGCUAGCUUGACUGCGAGAGUGACGGCUCGAGCAGGUACGAAAGUAGGUCUUAGUGAUCCGGUGGUUCUGAAUGGAAGGGCCAUCGCUCAACGGAUAAAAGGUACUCCGGGGAUAACAGGCUGAUACCGCCCAAGAGUUCAUAUCGACGGCGGUGUUUGGCACCUCGAUGUCGGCUCAUCACAUCCUGGGGCUGAAGUAGGUCCCAAGGGUAUGGCUGUUCGCCAUUUAAAGUGGUACGCGAGCUGGGUUUAGAACGUCGUGAGACAGUUCGGUCCCUAUCUGCCGUGGGCGUUGGAAGAUUGAGAGGGGCUGCUCCUAGUACGAGAGGACCGGAGUGGACGAAUCACUGGUGUUCGGGUUGUCAUGCCAAUGGCAUUGCCCGGUAGCUAAAUUCGGAAGAGAUAACCGCUGAAAGCAUCUAAGCGGGAAACUUGCCUCGAGAUGAGUCUUCCCUGGGGCUUUAAGCCCCCUGAAGGAACGUUAAAGACUAUGACGUUGAUAGGCUGGGUGUGUAAGUGCAGCGAUGCAUUGAGCUAACCAGUACUAAUGAUCCGUGAGGCUUAACCUU